CACGGACCGCACGAACGUUAUUCGGUAUUACUGGGCGUAAAGCGCGUGUAGGCGGUUGUUCAAGUCGGGUGUGAAAGCCUUGAGCUCAACUCAAGAAAUGCACUCGGUACUGGAUGACUAGAGGACCGGAGAGGAUAGUGGAAUUCCCAGUGUAGUGGUGAAAUACGUAGAGAUUGGGAAGAACACCAGUGGCGAAGGCGGCUAUCUGGACGGUUUCUGACGCUAAGACGCGAAAGCGUGGGGAGCAAACAGG
rnacentral:rRNA from 1 species